CCAGCAGGAAGACCAAUACAAAAUCUUUCCCAAUCUCUUUCCAAGAAAAAUCUGAAAUACUCCUGCCUUUUUAUACCCUGUUGCUGCGACUAGAGAGAAUAUUUUGCAAGCCACCUUCCUUCUCCUUGAAGUCUCACUUGCCAUAAUGAAUGAGAUGAGUGUGGUUGAUAGGCUGCAGGAUCCAAAUUUCUGAUAAAGAGCCUGACAAAAUUAAAGUAUCAAGGAGUGGUGUAAGUGAACGUGUUUGGGAUUUGAUACAAUGUAUAUGCUGAUAUGUAUUUCUAUACAGUCAUGGAUGAAGGCGUCUGCUUUUUUAUCCAUAAUAGCUCAGAAGUGAGGCAUUCACCUGGAUCUAAAACACCUCCAGUUUUUCUCUCAGAACAUUGGAAUUGUCUAGUGACACGUGGUAUAGCCUGCAAGCUGUGAAUGUGAACAACAGAAAGGCAGAGGAAAGACUUGCAGAUGUGACCUUGAGGAGAAGCUGAGAGCUGAUCUUCCUGCGAUCAGGCCUUGGAGUCACCCUCUUUUACAGACAAUGAAACAUCUUACCAGAGUCUGCUGCUUCUACCUACGUAGAAAUGGGAUUUAUGUACAUUGUUUACAAAUAAACAAGACUAUACUAAGAGCAUA